rnacentral:ncRNA from 1 species
UCCACGGGCCGUGACUGGCGCGCUGGGAUGGGACGGACCAUCGGGGAGCGGCCCGGCAGGAAGCGAUCGAGUGCCGUGCGCCUGGGCCGAACCC